rnacentral:lncRNA from 1 species
CCCGCAGCGCCUAAGAUAUUUACUAUCUGGCCCUUUACAAGGAAAGUUUGCCAACAUCUGGUCUAUGGCUUCAAUUUUAUUUUAUCUUUUACAGGGUGAGGCACCCUUGUCCUGAGAGCCACAAGAAUUUUGUUUUGUGGAACAAGAUCUUGGUGACUUGAAUAAAACAGAGGAGGCUGUUCCAGGAUCUGAGCCACAGAACAGGGGAAGAAAUCAAUCUGUAUUACUCAGCUAGGGCUGCCAUAUAAAAUAUCAUCGACUGAGUGACUGAAACAACACACAUCUACUUCUCACAACUACGGAGGCCAAAAGCCCACCAUCAAGGUACCGGCAAGGCGGUCAUCCUAUCUUAGCACAGUGACUGGGUCGCAGGGCAUUACCUGGAGCAGGGAGCUGUACAGGCAGUGCUGGUCUCCUGGAGUACUCACUGACUUUGGAAAGCCUCAGGGUUGGCGGCUGCUACUAGUCUGGCGGGUCUCACUGAGGAUCAAGCUGGCUGUGGCCGGUGUGGAUGCAGAACAUAAAAGGUACUGAGGAUUUUCCCACAUCGGGGAUGGGAGUAGAUUUAGGAAGCAAUCGGGGAUGUUUUAUCCCAGAAACAUUCUAGGGUUAAAUAGGAUGACCUGUAUGUGAGUGGAAGUCUCACAUACAUUAACACGAAUCAGGCUGUUUUCCCUUUGCAAACGGCAGAAAGCCUAGUUUAAUCAUCCUUGUCCUGCAAAAAAACCCAAACGAUACAAAGCAAGCGUAUCCCACCCGUUUCUCCUUGAGGCUGUGCACAGCAGUGUGGCUGCUGACUGCCAGCCCCGCAGCUCCGCCUGACCAGUCUGCUUUGUCCGUUCCCUCAGUGGGCCCAAAAUGAAGGGCACCAGCGGGCCCUGGAAAGAGUCUGACAUGGGACAGAUAGGAGAGGGGGAUGAAUGCUCCAGCUCCUUUUCCUCUUGGAUGGCGUGGCUCUGAAACACGUCUUUUACAAGGCCUCCCAGAGUUCCCACGUGGGACUGAGCCCAAGUUGCCCUUUACUAAU